UUAAGCGACUAAGCGUACACGGUGGAUGCCCUGGCAGUCAGAGGCGAUGAAGGACGUGCUAAUCUGCGAUAAGCGUCGGUGAGGUGAUAUGAACCGUUAUAACCGGCGAUUUCCGAAUGGGGAAACCCAGUGUGUUUCGACACACUAUCAUUAACUGAAUCCAUAGGUUAAUGAGGCGAACCGGGGGAACUGAAACAUCUAAGUACCCCGAGGAAAAGAAAUCAACCGAGAUUCCCCCAGUAGCGGCGAGCGAACGGGGAGGAGCCCAGAGCCUGAAUCAGUGUGUGUGUUAGUGGAAGCGUCUGGAAAGGCGCGCGAUACAGGGUGACAGCCCCGUACACAAAAAUGCACAUAUUGUGAGCUCGAUGAGUAGGGCGGGACACGUGGUAUCCUGUCUGAAUAUGGGGGGACCAUCCUCCAAGGCUAAAUACUCCUGACUGACCGAUAGUGAACCAGUACCGUGAGGGAAAGGCGAAAAGAACCCCGGCGAGGGGAGUGAAAAAGAACCUGAAACCGUGUACGUACAAGCAGUGGGAGCCUCUUAAUGGGGUGACUGCGUACCUUUUGUAUAAUGGGUCAGCGACUUAUAUUCUGUAGCAAGGUUAACCGAAUAGGGGAGCCGAAGGGAAACCGAGUCUUAACUGGGCGCUAAGUUGCAGGGUAUAGACCCGAAACCCGGUGAUCUAGCCAUGGGCAGGUUGAAGGUUGGGUAACACUAACUGGAGGACCGAACCGACUAAUGUUGAAAAAUUAGCGGAUGACUUGUGGCUGGGGGUGAAAGGCCAAUCAAACCGGGAGAUAGCUGGUUCUCCCCGAAAGCUAUUUAGGUAGCGCCUCGUGAAUUCAUCUCCGGGGGUAGAGCACUGUUUUGGCAAGGGGGUCAUCCCGACUUACCAACCCGAUGCAAACUGCGAAUACCGGAGAAUGUUAUCACGGGAGACACACGGCGGGUGCUAACGUCCGUCGUGAAGAGGGAAACAACCCAGACCGCCAGCUAAGGUCCCAAAGUCAUGGUUAAGUGGGAAACGAUGUGGGAAGGCCCAGACAGCCAGGAUGUUGGCUUAGAAGCAGCCAUCAUUUAAAGAAAGCGUAAUAGCUCACUGGUCGAGUCGGCCUGCGCGGAAGAUGUAACGGGGCUAAACCAUGCACCGAAGCUGCGGCAGCGACACUAUGUGUUGUUGGGUAGGGGAGCGUUCUGUAAGCCUGUGAAGGUGGCCUGUGAGGGUUGCUGGAGGUAUCAGAAGUGCGAAUGCUGACAUAAGUAACGAUAAAGCGGGUGAAAAGCCCGCUCGCCGGAAGACCAAGGGUUCCUGUCCAACGUUAAUCGGGGCAGGGUGAGUCGACCCCUAAGGCGAGGCCGAAAGGCGUAGUCGAUGGGAAACAGGUUAAUAUUCCUGUACUUGGUGUUACUGCGAAGGGGGGACGGAGAAGGCUAUGUUGGCCGGGCGACGGUUGUCCCGGUUUAAGCGUGUAGGCUGGUUUUCCAGGCAAAUCCGGAAAACCAAGGCUGAGGCGUGAUGACGAGGCACUACGGUGCUGAAGCGACAAAUGCCCUGCUUCCAGGAAAAGCCUCUAAGCAUCAGGUAACAUCAAAUCGUACCCCAAACCGACACAGGUGGUCAGGUAGAGAAUACCAAGGCGCUUGAGAGAACUCGGGUGAAGGAACUAGGCAAAAUGGUGCCGUAACUUCGGGAGAAGGCACGCUGAUAUGUAGGUGAAGCGACUUGCUCGUGGAGCUGAAAUCAGUCGAAGAUACCAGCUGGCUGCAACUGUUUAUUAAAAACACAGCACUGUGCAAACACGAAAGUGGACGUAUACGGUGUGACGCCUGCCCGGUGCCGGAAGGUUAAUUGAUGGGGUUAGCGGUAACGCGAAGCUCUUGAUCGAAGCCCCGGUAAACGGCGGCCGUAACUAUAACGGUCCUAAGGUAGCGAAAUUCCUUGUCGGGUAAGUUCCGACCUGCACGAAUGGCGUAAUGAUGGCCAGGCUGUCUCCACCCGAGACUCAGUGAAAUUGAACUCGCUGUGAAGAUGCAGUGUACCCGCGGCAAGACGGAAAGACCCCGUGAACCUUUACUAUAGCUUGACACUGAACAUUGAGCCUUGAUGUGUAGGAUAGGUGGGAGGCUUUGAAGUGUGGACGCCAGUCUGCAUGGAGCCGACCUUGAAAUACCACCCUUUAAUGUUUGAUGUUCUAACGUUGGCCCGUAAUCGGGGUUGCGGACAGUGUCUGGUGGGUAGUUUGACUGGGGCGGUCUCCUCCUAAAGAGUAACGGAGGAGCACGAAGGUUGGCUAAUCCUGGUCGGACAUCAGGAGGUUAGUGCAAUGGCAUAAGCCAGCUUGACUGCGAGCGUGACGGCGCGAGCAGGUGCGAAAGCAGGUCAUAGUGAUCCGGUGGUUCUGAAUGGAAGGGCCAUCGCUCAACGGAUAAAAGGUACUCCGGGGAUAACAGGCUGAUACCGCCCAAGAGUUCAUAUCGACGGCGGUGUUUGGCACCUCGAUGUCGGCUCAUCACAUCCUGGGGCUGAAGUAGGUCCCAAGGGUAUGGCUGUUCGCCAUUUAAAGUGGUACGCGAGCUGGGUUUAGAACGUCGUGAGACAGUUCGGUCCCUAUCUGCCGUGGGCGCUGGAGAACUGAGGGGGGCUGCUCCUAGUACGAGAGGACCGGAGUGGACGCAUCACUGGUGUUCGGGUUGUCAUGCCAAUGGCACUGCCCGGUAGCUAAAUGCGGAAGAGAUAAGUGCUGAAAGCAUCUAAGCACGAAACUUGCCCCGAGAUGAGUUCUCCCUGAGACUUAGAGUCUCCUGAAGGAACGUUGAAGACGACGACGUUGAUAGGCCGGGUGUGUAAGCGCAGCGAUGCGUUGAGCUAACCGGUACUAAUGAACCGUGAGGCUUAACCUUACAACGCCGAAGAUGUUUUGGCGGAUGAGAGAANGGGAAACCCAGUGUGUUUCGACACACUAUCAUUAACUGAAUCCAUAGGUUAAUGAGGCGAACCGGGGGAACUGAAACAUCUAAGUACCCCGAGGAAAAGAAAUCAACCGAGAUUCCCCCAGUAGCGGCGAGCGAACGGGGAGGAGCCCAGAGCCUGAAUCAGUGUGUGUGUUAGUGGAAGCGUCUGGAAAGGCGCGCGAUACAGGGUGACAGCCCCGUACACAAAAAUGCACAUAUUGUGAGCUCGAUGAGUAGGGCGGGACACGUGGUAUCCUGUCUGAAUAUGGGGGGACCAUCCUCCAAGGCUAAAUACUCCUGACUGACCGAUAGUGAACCAGUACCGUGAGGGAAAGGCGAAAAGAACCCCGGCGAGGGGAGUGAAAAAGAACCUGAAACCGUGUACGUACAAGCAGUGGGAGCCUCUUAAUGGGGUGACUGCGUACCUUUUGUAUAAUGGGUCAGCGACUUAUAUUCUGUAGCAAGGUUAACCGAAUAGGGGAGCCGAAGGGAAACCGAGUCUUAACUGGGCGCUAAGUUGCAGGGUAUAGACCCGAAACCCGGUGAUCUAGCCAUGGGCAGGUUGAAGGUUGGGUAACACUAACUGGAGGACCGAACCGACUAAUGUUGAAAAAUUAGCGGAUGACUUGUGGCUGGGGGUGAAAGGCCAAUCAAACCGGGAGAUAGCUGGUUCUCCCCGAAAGCUAUUUAGGUAGCGCCUCGUGAAUUCAUCUCCGGGGGUAGAGCACUGUUUCGGCAAGGGGGUCAUCCCGACUUACCAACCCGAUGCAAACUGCGAAUACCGGAGAAUGUUAUCACGGGAGACACACGGCGGGUGCUAACGUCCGUCGUGAAGAGGGAAACAACCCAGACCGCCAGCUAAGGUCCCAAAGUCAUGGUUAAGUGGGAAACGAUGUGGGAAGGCCCAGACAGCCAGGAUGUUGGCUUAGAAGCAGCCAUCAUUUAAAGAAAGCGUAAUAGCUCACUGGUCGAGUCGGCCUGCGCGGAAGAUGUAACGGGGCUAAACCAUGCACCGAAGCUGCGGCAGCGACACUAUGUGUUGUUGGGUAGGGGAGCGUUCUGUAAGCCUGUGAAGGUGGCCUGUGAGGGUUGCUGGAGGUAUCAGAAGUGCGAAUGCUGACAUAAGUAACGAUAAAGCGGGUGAAAAGCCCGCUCGCCGGAAGACCAAGGGUUCCUGUCCAACGUUAAUCGGGGCAGGGUGAGUCGACCCCUAAGGCGAGGCCGAAAGGCGUAGUCGAUGGGAAACAGGUUAAUAUUCCUGUACUUGGUGUUACUGCGAAGGGGGGACGGAGAAGGCUAUGUUGGCCGGGCGACGGUUGUCCCGGUUUAAGCGUGUAGGCUGGUUUUCCAGGCAAAUCCGGAAAACCAAGGCUGAGGCGUGAUGACGAGGCACUACGGUGCUGAAGCGACAAAUGCCCUGCUUCCAGGAAAAGCCUCUAAGCAUCAGGUAACAUCAAAUCGUACCCCAAACCGACACAGGUGGUCAGGUAGAGAAUACCAAGGCGCUUGAGAGAACUCGGGUGAAGGAACUAGGCAAAAUGGUGCCGUAACUUCGGGAGAAGGCACGCUGAUAUGUAGGUGAAGCGACUUGCUCGUGGAGCUGAAAUCAGUCGAAGAUACCAGCUGGCUGCAACUGUUUAUUAAAAACACAGCACUGUGCAAACACGAAAGUGGACGUAUACGGUGUGACGCCUGCCCGGUGCCGGAAGGUUAAUUGAUGGGGUUAGCGGUAACGCGAAGCUCUUGAUCGAAGCCCCGGUAAACGGCGGCCGUAACUAUAACGGUCCUAAGGUAGCGAAAUUCCUUGUCGGGUAAGUUCCGACCUGCACGAAUGGCGUAAUGAUGGCCAGGCUGUCUCCACCCGAGACUCAGUGAAAUUGAACUCGCUGUGAAGAUGCAGUGUACCCGCGGCAAGACGGAAAGACCCCGUGAACCUUUACUAUAGCUUGACACUGAACAUUGAGCCUUGAUGUGUAGGAUAGGUGGGAGGCUUUGAAGUGUGGACGCCAGUCUGCAUGGAGCCGACCUUGAAAUACCACCCUUUAAUGUUUGAUGUUCUAACGUUGGCCCCUAAUCGGGGUUGCGGACAGUGUCUGGUGGGUAGUUUGACUGGGGCGGUCUCCUCCUAAAGAGUAACGGAGGAGCACGAAGGUUGGCUAAUCCUGGUCGGACAUCAGGAGGUUAGUGCAAUGGCAUAAGCCAGCUUGACUGCGAGCGUGACGGCGCGAGCAGGUGCGAAAGCAGGUCAUAGUGAUCCGGUGGUUCUGAAUGGAAGGGCCAUCGCUCAACGGAUAAAAGGUACUCCGGGGAUAACAGGCUGAUACCGCCCAAGAGUUCAUAUCGACGGCGGUGUUUGGCACCUCGAUGUCGGCUCAUCACAUCCUGGGGCUGAAGUAGGUCCCAAGGGUAUGGCUGUUCGCCAUUUAAAGUGGUACGCGAGCUGGGUUUAGAACGUCGUGAGACAGUUCGGUCCCUAUCUGCCGUGGGCGCUGGAGAACUGAGGGGGGCUGCUCCUAGUACGAGAGGACCGGAGUGGACGCAUCACUGGUGUUCGGGUUGUCAUGCCAAUGGCACUGCCCGGUAGCUAAAUGCGGAAGAGAUAAGUGCUGAAAGCAUCUAAGCACGAAACUUGCCCCGAGAUGAGUUCUCCCUGAGACUUAGAGUCUCCUGAAGGAACGUUGAAGACGACGACGUUGAUAGGCCGGGUGUGUAAGCGCAGCGAUGCGUUGAGCUAACCGGUACUAAUGAACCGUGAGGCUUAACCUU
rnacentral:rRNA from 1 species